GAUGAACGCUGGCGGCGUGCCUAAUACAUGCAAGUCGAGCGAACAGACGAGGAGCUUGCUCCUCUGACGUUAGCGGCGGACGGGUGAGUAACACGUGGAUAACCUACCUAUAAGACUGGGAUAACUUCGGGAAAACGGAGCUAAUACCGGAUAAUAUAUUGAACCGCAUGGUUCACUAGUGAAAGACGGUUUUGCUGUCACUUAUAGAUGGAUCCGCGCUGCAUUAGCUAGUUGGUAAGGUAACGGCUUACCAAGGCAACGAUGCGUAGCCGACCUGAGAGGGUGAUCGGCCACACUGGAACUGAGACACGGUCCAGACUCCUACGGGAGGCAGCAGUAGGGAAUCUUCCGCAAUGGGCGAAAGCUUGACGGAGCAACGCCGCGUGAGUGAUGAAGGUCUUCGGAUCGUAAAACUCUGUUAUUAGGGAAGAACAAAUGUGUAAGUAACUAUGCACGUCUUGACGGUACCUAAUCAGAAAGCCACGGCUAACUACGUG
rnacentral:rRNA from 1 species